rnacentral:rRNA from 1 species
UUGCACGCUGGCGGCAUGCUUUACACAUGCCAGUCGCACGGCAGCGCGGGCUUCGGCCUGGCGGCGAGUGGCGAACGGGUGAGUAAUGCAUCGGAACGUGCCCAGUAGUGGGGGAUAGCCCGGCGAAAGCCGGAUUAAUACCGCAUACGACCUGAGGGUGAAAGCGGGGGACCGAAAGGCCUCGCGCUAUUGGAGCGGCCGAUGUCGGAUUAGCUAGUUGGUGGGGUAAAGGCUUACCAAGGCGACGAUCCGUAGCUGGUCUGAGAGGACGACCAGCCACACUGGGACUGAGACACGGCCCAGACUCCUACGGGAGGCAGCAGUGGGGAAUUUUGGACAAUGGGGGCAACCCUGAUCCAGCCAUGCCGCGUGCGGGAAGAAGGCCUUCGGGUUGUAAACCGCUUUUGUUCGGGAAGAAAUCCUCUGGGCUAAUACCCCGGGGGGAUGACGGUACCGGAAGAAUAAGCACCGGCUAACUACGUG